UACGGAGGGUGCGAGCGUUAAUCGGAAUAACUGGGCGUAAAGGGCACGCAGGCGGAUAAGCAAGUUAGAAGUGAAAUCCUAUAGCUCAACUAUAGUAAGCUUUUAAAACUGCUCAUCUUGAGGUAUGGAAGGGAAAGUGGAAUUCCUAGUGUAGCGGUGAAAUGCGCAGAUAUUAGGAGGAAUACCGGUGGCGAAGGCGGCCCCCUGGACAAAGACUGACGCUCAGGUGCGAAAGCGUGGGGAGCAAACAGG
rnacentral:rRNA from 1 species